rnacentral:rRNA from 1 species
CCAAGCGUUGUCCGGAUUUAUUGGGCGUAAAGAGCUCGUAGGCGGUUCGACAAGUCGGGUGUGAAAACUCCGGGCUCAACCCGGAGACGCCACCCGAUACUGUCGUGACUGGAGUCCGGUAGGGGAGUGGGGAAUUCCUGGUGUAGCGGUGAAAUGCGCAGAUAUCAGGAGGAACACCGGUGGCGAAGGCGCCACUCUGGGCCGGUACUGACGCUGAGGAGCGAAAGCGUGGGUAGCAAACAGG